UACAGAGGGGGCGAGCGUUAUUCGGAAUUAUUGGGCGUAAAGGGCGCGUAGGCGGCUUUGCAAGUGACGGGUGAAAUCCCUCGGCUUAACCGAGGAACUGCCUGUCAGACUGUAAGGCUUGAGACCGGGAGAGGUGAGUGGAAUUCCCAGUGUAGCGGUGAAAUGCGUAGAUAUUGGGAGGAACACCAAUGGCGAAGGCAGCACCCUGGGCCGGUACUGACGCUGAGGAGCGAAAGCGUGGGGAGCAAACAGG
rnacentral:rRNA from 1 species